rnacentral:rRNA from 1 species
GAUGAACGCUGGCGGUAUGCCUUACACAUGCAAGUCGAACGGCAGCACGGGAGCAAUCCUGGUGGCGAGUGGCGAACGGGUGAGUAAUAUAUCGGAACGUGCCCAGUCGUGGGGAUAACGUAGCGAAAGCUACGCUAAUACCGCAUACGAUCUAUGGAUGAAAGCGGGGGAUCGCAAGACCUCGCGCGAUUGGAGCGGCCGAUAUCAGAUUAGGUAGUUGGUGAGGUAAAGGCUCACCAAGCCGACGAUCUGUAGCUGGUCUGAGAGGACGACCAGCCACACUGGAACUGAGACACGGUCCAGACUCCUACGGGAGGCAGCAGUGGGGAAUUUUGGACAAUGGACGCAAGUCUGAUCCAGCCAUUCCGCGUGCAGGAUGAAGGCCCUCGGGUUGUAAACUGCUUUUGUACGGAACGAAAGGUUUCUAUUAAUACUAGGAGCUCAUGACGGUACCGUAAGAAUAAGCACCGGCUAAC